rnacentral:lncRNA from 1 species
GCUUUGGUCAGUGCCUUUUGGCAUUCCCCGGAUUUGCAUUGGCGGAGAAACUUUGUCACCUUGAUUAGGAGAUUGCUGGUAAAGCACUUGCUCACGAGGAGGUGCACCUCUACCAUGACUUGUAGUCUGAGAAGGUUGAGCAGUGGGUACCCACAAAGAGCUGGAUUUUGUAUUCCCAAACUUCUUUCCAGUCGGAGUAGGGUUUUCACUAAUGUGCAGUCUACCCAUGCCAGCUUGUACAUCCUUUUGUGUCAAGUUAUUGGAGGAUCCUGAAGGAUAAAACGGAGGAGAAGCUGAAUUUAAACUUGAAGCUAAUACAUUCUUUUUGGCUUGGAUGGCUUCAGUCUCUAUGCUAGCUAUUUCUGUUGGUGGACGCCCUGAAUUAACGUGCGACACUUUCACAAACGAAUUUUGGGACCUAAUGAUUCAGUAGACGAGACACAAUAAUUAGAGAGAUAAAGCCUUCAUGUGUUGACUAGAGAGGAAACAAAAAUUAAAGACUCACCGUUUGGUUUGCACAGAAGGUGCUUGAUUCCCAUUUCUCAAUGCAACCUCAUAUCUUCUGGGGCCCCUCCCUCUCGUGACAGCCUUAGGAAGCUGAUUUUGGUGUCCAUUGCCAGUAAAUUCUUUAGAAUUGUUCCCUCGAGAAUGUCCACGAUCCUGACCCCUACCCUGACCACGACCUCUGCCUCGGCCUCUCGAAGUCUGCCUCUAUGUUCACAAGUUUUAUCAAUCAGCAAUUAAAAGGAAAGAAAGAAAAGAGGUGGCAAAUGUAUAAACACCGCAAGAGGAAACAAGUCAAUGAAUACAAAUGUAUUUAUGCAGAGGAGAGAGGAUCUAAGAUAACUAACAUCAUAUUGGUUUUCCGGUGUAUUCAUUUCUUCGUAUUUGUCAUGUCCCCACUUUCUUUCAUCUCUGGAUUGCCAGAGCCUCCUACCACCACGCAUUCGCCUACAGAAACGAAACGAAACGCUAUAUCAGUUGGCAUAACCAUGUAACUAACUAAACAGAAUGUUGAAUGAAAGUGCUUGUGAGAAUCUCGGCUAGAUUCAUACAUAGGGAUUGACAAUCAAAGGUAAACAUAAGAUUAACAAAGCAACAGCAGUUGUUCCAAUCGAUUUGAACUACAUGAUGACGGAAAGUUCCAAUCGAUUUAGUAACUUGAGCUAUCAAUAUAGUGUUCCUCCAUAGAAUGAUAGUAAAAAGUAGUUAACCUAUUAGAGGCGGCAUCAAUUUCCUGAAAUCUGUUAUCAUGCAUAUAGAAAGCUCCAGCAGUUGGCACUGCGAAAGGUUCCUUCUUCUUAUGGUGCUCUCCAUCCACAAGAGCAGGGGCAGAGUCCUCCUCGGUGCCAACAUGUCCAUCGUGAUCGUGAUCAUAAGUAUCAUCAUCCUCCUCAU